GGCAAAACAAAGAGAGGAGGUGACAUUAGUGAUCUGCCAACAGGAACUUUGAAUGGAUUGUUGUAGAGGAUGUUGUUACCGAUUGUUGUGACUAUGAAACACCACACCGCACACAGAAAAACUAGGCUUUUUGUGAAAUGCCAAUGUGUUUAAUGUUUUAGUUUAAAGACCUUAAUAAUGCAUAAAUAUCAAUUAUGUCACAAACAUAAGCAUAUUAGUUAUAAAUGAGACAUUAAUCCCAGUGUUCACAAGUGCACUAAUUACUACAUUUACAGUAGAUGCAUUCUCUCAUAGUAAAGAACCAACAGAGAAUACUAAAUGUGGUUUGUAGCUCAUUUCAGCUCAUUGUUCGGCUUCACAGUCUUAAUUCGGUUCAGCAUUACUCCCAUUCAUCUCAUUCAGAUCCACUACAGUACAUAAGAAUAAAAAUAUUAUCACACGUACAUGCUUUACAUUUUGGAACAGAACGCAUUAGCAGCAAGUAUUAGAGUUUUCUUACAGUACAUCAGAAUUUUACUUAAGUAACAAUUUUCUUCCUUUAAAAGCUGUUUCUACUACAUUUAAGCAGGGUUCAAUGAAUGAUCACGAGUCCAUGUCAUGUAGUAAACUUUUAGUCGACUACCUCAUUAGUGAACACGUUUAUUAAAUGUUCAGCUUUCCUAAAAACCACGCGUGAUGAUAAUUGCAUCAGAUGAUUGACAGGCAGCUGGAUAGGGGGCGGGGCUUAUGCGGCCGUUACUGACCUAAAUGGCAGCGUCACUGACGUGCAAUGGAAACUUAAUUGAGGCGCCCGCGUCCCCUAGGUUGGAAGUCAGCGAAAGACAGCGAAGUAGCCCAGGUAAGAGUUUUCCCUUUCCUGUCAACUACUCCACACGCUCGUUUCGUUUCCAAACGCCACACUGCGCACAAGGCGACAGCGACGGCGAGCAUCACCGAACACUUCCAAGCAUCAAAGUCGAGACAGUGACGCCGGAGCCCGGGCGCGAGGAGCUCUCGGUAAACACGGUGCGUCUGCGUCAGGCUCGACGCGGCAGCGGCGGCGGCGGCGGCGAGCGUGGAGCGCCUCGCGCAGAACCCACCGGACCUGCGACGGGACGCGAGAACUUCAAUAAAACCGAGCCCGGCGGUCCCGUUCAAGUGUGCGAAACAGCGGCAGAAAGUCCGAGGCGAGCGAACGCCCGCCUCGCUGUGAAGUUGAGAGAGCGACGCGCGCAACUUUUCGCCCUCGGUCGCACUUUUCUCUCAGACUCCGCGCGAGCUGAAAUACUGUCGUUCUUCAAACACACAGAGGUUUUAGACGCGGCAGCGGAAAACGGGGCUGAUUUGUGGCAGUUUUUAUUAUAG
rnacentral:lncRNA from 1 species